AGGAGUUGGUAGCUCAGUGGUAGAGUGCAACGCUUUAUAUGUAUGAUGUCCUGGGUUCAAUCCCCUGCACUUUUG
rnacentral:tRNA from 1 species